GACGUAGGGCGCGAGCGUUGUCCGGAUUUAUUGGGCGUAAAGAGCUCGUAGGCGGCUUGUUACGUCGUUCGUGAAAACUUGGGGCUCAACCCCAAGCUUGCGGUCGAUACGGGCAGGCUAGAGUUCGGUAGGGGAGAAUGGAAUUCCCGGUGUAGCGGUGAAAUGCGCAGAUAUCGGGAGGAACACCGGUGGCGAAGGCGGUUCUCUGGGCCUGUACUGACGCUGAGGAGCGAAAGCGUGGGGAGCGAACAGG
rnacentral:rRNA from 1 species